rnacentral:hammerhead_ribozyme from 1 species
AUAUGGCUGAAGAAUCCUAAAUAGGAUGAAAUGCGAGUCAUACAU